rnacentral:tRNA from 1 species
GCCGACGUAGCUCAGGGGUAGAGCACUUCCAUGGUAAGGAAGGGGUCGUGAGUUCGAAUCUCACCGUUGGCU